UACGUAGGGGGCAAGCGUUGUCCGGAUUUAUUGGGCGUAAAGAGCGUGUAGGCGGCUAGGUAGGUCCGUUGUGAAAACUCGAGGCUCAACCUCGAGACGCCGGUGGAAACCAUCUAGCUAGAGUCCGGAAGAGGAGAGUGGAAUUCCUGGUGUAGCGGUGAAAUGCGCAGAUAUCAGGAAGAACACCCGUGGCGAAGGCGGCUCUCUGGGACGUGACUGACGCUGGGACGCGAAAGCGUGGGGAGCGAACAGG
rnacentral:rRNA from 1 species